AGAGUUUGAUCAUGGCUCAGAUUGAACGCUGGCGGCAGGCCUAACACAUGCAAGUCGAGCGGUAACAUAGGAAGCUUGCUUCCUGAUGACGAGCGGCGGACGGGUGAGUAACGCGUAGGAAUCUACCCAGUAGCGGGGGAUAGCCCGGGGAAACCCGGAUUAAUACCGCAUACGCCCUACGGGGGAAAGGCCGGGAUCUUCGGACCGGUCACUAUUGGAUGAGCCUGCGUAAGAUUAGCUAGUUGGUGGGGUAAAGGCCUACCAAGGCGACGAUCUUUAGCUGGUCUGAGAGGAUGAUCAGCCACACUGGAACUGAGACACGGUCCAGACUCCUACGGGAGGCAGCAGUGGGGAAUAUUGGACAAUGGGGGCAACCCUGAUCCAGCCAUGCCGCGUGUGUGAAGAAGGCUUUCGGGUUGUAAAGCACUUUAAGUUGUGAGGAAGGGGUUUAAGUUAAUAGCUUGA
rnacentral:rRNA from 1 species